rnacentral:tRNA from 1 species
GCGCGCUUAGCUCAGUGGUAGAGCACUUCCUUCACACGGAAGGGGUCUAAGGUUCGAAUCCUUAAGCGCGCACCA